AAAAAAAAAAAAAAAAAAAAGAUAACGUGAGGCACAUGUGCGCCUCACUUAAAGAAAAGAAAGAAACAGAAGAAGAGGCAGUGCCUCAUUCACUCUGUGGCCGGAAGAACAGAAGGGAGAAAGGGAGGGAGAGUUUUAAGUUUUUUCUAACGAAAAUUGCGAUCUACGAAGAUCCAACGGUCGGAUCUUCAAUCCGUUUUCGACAACGUGAUCCUUGCACUCGGAUCUACGUUCGUACCGAUUGUUUAAGGUGUUUGAGCUUAUUGGAGCUUAUUUGAGGCUAGCCAAACUUUGGGUGGGAGUUUGGUGAAUUUGGUGGCACUUUGGGGGAGUGAGCUUAGGACUUGUUAGUGUCGGUGUGCAAGCAGUCAAGAUGUAGUUUCUGUGACUGCAGGUACACCUGACUUUGAGGAAGACCCUGUAGCUGCGUAUUUGGGGUACUACGAUUGAAGCACUCCGCGACAGUCGUACUGAGUUGGACUAUGGAGUUCACUCUUUUGGGGUAUUUUGUAUAUGCCUAGUGACGUAGGUGUCACAUAUUCUUUUGUGUAGCCAUUCUUUUGUAUCAGUGGGUAAAUGUAAACCUUAAACUGUUAGACAGAUAUAGCUCUUUUGUAUGGACCACUAGUUAAUUUUAGAUGUGCUUUCCGUUAUGGUUGUUGUGUUACAAUUAUUCCGCUUCUAGAUAAUACUCUGAAUAUCAAGUACAUGGUAUGGAGCGUGUACGUAUGUUG